rnacentral:lncRNA from 1 species
UGAUACCAUGAACCUAUCACAUCAUUCCUUUCCCUUACUCUUCGAUUCCAAAUCUAUGAUAGAUCAAGGUGUGGAUGUGUGAAAGGUUUGUUUACUUGGCGCGCUAAGAACCUUUCAUGUGGUUUGAUGGCGGUGGAAGCGUUAUUGGCCAUAUUGUUAAAGUUGAAUGGAAGCAAACAUUGCUAAAGUUAUUACCUUUAUUGAUUAUGUGUGAUGUUGGGUACGUAUUAGUAUAUUGAAACGAAUAUGUUUGCUUUUUUCGGUAUUUAUGCAACGUAUCUUUUAAA